AUGAGAAGGAGAUACAGACGACUGCAUUUAAGCAAUAUCGUGUAUUGCGGGAAAUAAUAACUUAAGAUCUGCACUUUCUACCAUAGAUGGUAUUGAGCUGCCAACACAAGGGGAGCUCAAACUGUACUUGACACAGUGAGGGUCCUUUUUGGGGAGGCCAUAGAAUCAUUUGGGAAGCUAACAGGUCUGAACUCAACCACAUCUGAGGAGUCCGAAGAAAAUU